rnacentral:rRNA from 1 species
AGAGUUUGAUCGUGGCUCAGGAUGAACGCUAGCGGCGCGCUUAAUCAUGCAAGUCGAGCGAUGAGGCUCCUACGGGAGUACAUCAGCGACAGACGGGUGAGUAACACGUAGGUGACCUACCCUCAAGACGGGGAUAACGAGUGGAAACAUUUGCUAAUACCCGAUGACCUUACUAGGUCGAAGUAGUAAGGAAAGCUCCGGUGCUUGAGGAGGGGCCUGCGGCCCAUCAGCUAGUUGGUGAGGUAACGGCUCACCAAGGCGAAGACGGGUAGGGGGUGUGAGAGCAUGACCCCCCACAAUGGGACUGCGACACGGCCCAUACUCCUACGGGAGGCAGCAGCAGGGAAUCUUGCACAAUGGACGGAAGUCUGAUGCAGCGACGCCGCGUGAGUGAAGACGGCCUUCGGGUUGUAAAACUCUUUUGAGGGGGAAGAGCGAGGACGGUACCCUUCGAAUAAGCGUCGGCUAACUACGUGCCAGCAGCCGCGGUAAGACGUAGGACGCAAGCGUUAUCCGGAUUUACUUGGCGUAAAGCGUCUGUAGGCGGGUGUGUAAGUUGGAUGUGAAAGCUCCAUGCUCAACGUGGAGAGGCCAUACAAUACUGCACGCCUAGAGGGGGUCAGAGGAGUGUGGAAUUUCCGGUGUAGCGGUAAAAUGCGCAGAUAUCGGAAGGAACACCAGUGGCGAAGGCGGCACUCUGGGGCCCACCUGACGCUGAGAGACGAAAGCUAGGGGAGCGAACAGGAUUAGAGACCCUGGUAGUCCUAGCCCUAAACGCUGAGUGCUAGGUGUGGGGGCGUAGAGCCUCUGUGCCGGAGCUAACGCGAUAAGCAUUCCGCCUGGGGAGUACGGCCGCAAGGUUAAAACUCAAACGAAUUGACGGGACCCCGCACAAGCAGCGGAGCGUGUGGUUUAAUUCGAUCUACACGAAGAACCUUACCUGGGUUUGACAUAUAGGUGGUAGGAAGCCGAAAGGCGACUGACCCUUCGGGGAGCUUAUACAGGUGCUGCAUGGCUGUCGUCAGCUCGUGCCGUGAGGUGUCGGGUUAAGUCCCGUAACGAGCGCAACCCUUGCCCUUAGUUAUACGUGUCUAAGGGGACUGCCGGCGGGAAGCCGGAGGAAGGUGGGGAUGACGUCAAGUCAGCAUGGCCCUUAUAUCCAGGGCUACACACACGCUACAAUGGGCGGUACAGAGGGCAGCGAAGUCGCGAGGCGGAGCGAAUCCUAGAAAGCCGUUCGUAGUUCGAAUAGCAGGCUGCAACUCGCCUGCUUGAAGCUGGAGUUGCUAGUAACCGCGCGUCAGCUAUAGUGCGGUGAAUACGUUCCCGGGGUUUGUACACACCGCCCGUCACGUCAUGGGAGUUGGUAACGCCUGAAGCCGGUAGCUUAACGUUAACGCGGGAGCGCUGUCGAGGGCGGGACUGGCAACUGGGACGAAGU